rnacentral:misc_RNA from 1 species
GAUUAUCAUGCGGGGGACAUGAUCUGCCCAGAGUGCGGCCUGGUUGUAGGCGACAGAGUAGUGGAUGUUGGAACUGAGUGGAGAACUUUCAGUAAUGACAAAUCAGACAAGGAUCCGUCUCGUGUUGGAGCUUCAGAAAAUCCUUUGCUUGAGGGUGGGGACCUGUCUACAAUGAUAGCUACAGGAGUUGGAGGCUCAGAGGGCGUGUUAGACGAACAUGGCAAACCGAUGUACAGAAACCGGCGAACACUGAACAGUUCAGACAGAGCACUGAUCAAUGCAUUCAGAGAAAUUGGACAAAUGGGAGACAGGUUAAACCUACCAAGAAUGAUUGCGGAUAGAGCCAACACUUUAUUUAAACAAGUGCAUGAAGGAAAAGCUUUAAAAGGACGCAGUAAUGAUGCUAUUGCCUCAGCGUGUAUGUAUAUAGCAUGUCGUCAGGAAGGGGUUCCAAGGACAUUCAAAGAAAUUUGCGCUGUCUCAAAAAUCUCCAAAAAGGAGAUUGGUAGGGUAUUUAAGCUGAUCUUGAAGAAUCUGGAAACAAAUGUAGAGUUGAUUACUACAGGAGAUUUCAUGUCGCGCUUCUGCUCCAAUCUGAGUUUACCAAACUCUGUACAGAAGGCAGCGACACACAUUGCCCGUAAAGCAGUGGAUCUGGAUCUGACUCCUGGUCGUAGUCCAAUUUCUGUGGCUGCUGCUGCAAUAUACAUGGCUUCCCAAGCUUCUGCAGACAAAAAGUCCCAGAAAGAGAUUGGAGACAUAGCCGGAGUGGCUGAAGUAACGAUCCGACAGUCCUACAAACUGAUGUAUCCCAAAGCUCACCUCUUGUUCCCAGAGGACUUUGAUUUUGUCACCCCCAUAGAGCAGCUCCCAGCUCAGUGAUUGUUAAAACUCAGGAGGCAUUAACGGGACAACCAUCCAAAAAAAAAAUAUCAUUCAUAUUAUAGAUAUAGGUCAGGUUCUAGAACAAUAUACAUGUAUCUCAUAUUUGACUAUCUCAGAAUGAGAUGUACUUUUAAAGGGAAACAAAUUCCUGUACCGAUAAUUUUCAAAAGAUUACAAUGUUCUGAAGUAUCUCUUCUAUUUACACUGAUUACAUGUCUAGACUAAGAGAAUGUUGUCAUACUUGGUUUGUAUCAAUGUUUGUUGUUUCUGUACUUGUAUGUAUACAUGUACCUACAUGUUAUUGUGAAUAAGCUCAUCCUUUAAAGGUCAGUAUUAAGCUAGUGCUGUUAGACAACAUACGGUAAUAAUCCAUGUAAAUUACAUACUGCAAUUUUGUGUCUGUAUAAACUGUAUCUGUUGUCAAACUAAAUCAAGAAUUUUAGUUGUCAGUCAUCCCCAUACAAGAUGAAUGAAAAAACAUUUGUAUAUGAAUGUUCAUCAUUAGUACAGGUACAAGUCAUUAUUUCAUUAAUAAAGUGU